UACGGGGGGAGCAAGCGUUGUUCGGAUUUACUGGGCGUAAAGGGCGCGUAGGCGGUCGUGACAAGUCACUUGUGAAAUCUCCGGGCUUAACUCGGAACGGUCAAGUGAUACUGUCGGGCUAGAGUGCAGAAGGGGCAACUGGAAUUCUCGGUGUAGCGGUGAAAUGCGUAGAUAUCGAGAGGAACACCUGCGGCGAAGGCGGGUUGCUGGGCUGACACUGACGCUGAGGCGCGAAAGCUAGGGGAGCGAACGGG
rnacentral:rRNA from 1 species